UGCCUGAGAGACCAAAACGCUGAUUCCGUUUACCUUCCUGGAAACUGUAAAACUAACCAAUCAGAGGAUCAGAUCAUUGAGAAGAGGAAACUUGCCCAACCUAAAAUGCACCUCUUUAAGAGGACCCAGUAGGAGAGAACUGCCCUUGAAAUGCUAAAAUGGGGAAAACAGCUUGAGAAUGUCAUGAGGCAAGACAGACUGACGUGAAAGAUAUUUUCAUCUCCGUGCACUUGGUGCCAACUCAAGGCCAAGUUAGGAAAACAGUCCACGAUGUACUGUAAAGUAAUACUGAAUGGAACAGGUGAGGGCACAGCAUUCAUGUCCUGUUGCCCUUCCCCCCCUGUCAUGUGAGGAUGUUAUUGCAAGAAGAUGCUUUUACUGGAACAGACCCUCAAAGAAGCUGCCAGUGCUUUGAUCUUGGACUUGCUCGUCUCCAGAACUGUGAGAAAAAAAAAAAAAAUCUAUUAUUUAUAAAUUACCCAGUCUGUGUUAUUUUGCUCUUGCAGUACAAACCAGGCAGACCAACCUACCUGUGCCCAGGUGGUCCACAAAAAAUGUAGCCUUCACAGCAGUGUUUGCAGAGCCAGCCCACAUUCAUGGAUUCAUAGAAGUCUAAGUCCUGGCAAACUGAGAGAAGAGCUAUGGCAUUGGGAGAGUGGGAAUCUAAAUUUCAGAUGAGAUAGCUAAGGAUACCUCAAUUAAAAUGUGACAUUGUAGGCAAAGAUUUCAUGGCUAAGACUUCAGAAGCAUAGACAACAAAAACAAAAAUAGACAAAUGGGACUCUACUAAGCUAAAAAGUUUCUGUACAGCAAAUAAAACAAUCAACAGAGUGAAAAGAUAACCUGUUGAAUGGGAGAAAAUGUUUGCAAACUAUUCUUCCUACAAGGGACUAAUAUCCAGACUAUACAAGGAACUGAAACAACUCAACAGUAAAAAAGGCAAGUAAUCCCAUUAAAAAUUGGGCAAAGGACAUCAACAGACAUUUCUCAAAAGAAGACAUACAAAUGGUCAACAGGCAAAUUUUUUUAAAAAGUGCAACAUUACUAAUCACCAGGGAAAUGCAAAUCAAACCCACAAUGACAUAUCAUCUUUCCCCACUUAGAAUGGCUAUUAUUUUUUUAAAUUAUUUUUUUGAGAUGGAGUUUCGCUCUUGUUGCCCAGGCUGGAGUGCAAUGGCACAAUCUCAGCUCACUGCAACCUCUGCCUCCUGGGUUCAGGUGAUUCUCCUGCCUCAGCCUCCCAAGUAGCUGGGAUUACCAGCAUGCCCCACCACACCCAGCUAAUUUUUGUAUUUUGGGGGUUUUGGAGACGGGGUUUCUCCAUGUUGGUCAGGCUGGUCUCAAACUCCCAACCUCUGGUGAUCCAUCUGCCUCAGCCUCCCAAAGUGCUGGGAUUACAGGUGUGAGCCACUGCACCUGGCCAUAGAAUGGCUAUUAUUAAAAAGACAAAAAAAAAAAGCAGAUAUUGGUGAGGGUGCAGAGAAGAGCAAACUCUUAUACACUAUUAGUGAAAAUGUAAAUUAGUACAGCCACUAUGGAAAACAGUAUGGAGGUUUCUCAAAAAAAUAAAAACCUGAACAACCAUAGGACCCGGCAAUCCCACUGCUGGACAUUUAUCCUAAGGAAAAGAAAUCAGUAUAUCAGAGAGAUAGCUGCAUUCAUGUUUAUUGUAGCAGUAUUCACAAAAGCAAAGAUAUGGAAUCAACUCAGUGAUCAUCAUCAGGUGAAUGGAUAAAUAAAAUGUAAUAUAUAUACACAAUGUAAUACUUUUCAAUCAUAAAAAAAUAAAAUCAUGUCAUUUGCCUCC